AGAGAAAGCCAGACAGAGCAGCAUCCGCCGUAGAUCCAUCCCUCACCACUAGGACCCAUACCGGUGCAGCAACCGCAGCUCCCUCCCCAUCACCUCCCCUUCCUGCCCUCCUUCAUCUCAGCUCGGCCAUGAGGACCUGCAACCACAAACCCUAGGCCAGGUUCUUUGCCUCGGUCAGCCUUGACGGAUGUGGCUGCGCUUUGGUGGAUGAUGUGAGUGCUCCGGUGCCCUGUCCACGACCAUCAGCGCUCCCUCCCCGAACCCCUCUCAAGCCUAGACCAAGCUUCACCGGCGUUUGAUGGCACGAAGUACAUGCUUGGAAGACAAGUUGUUGUACCUCUCCAUUGGACAUGACGAGUAUGGUGGAGGAGGUGUGACGAGGAGAUUGAGAGCGAUGAUUCUAUGGUUCUGCUUUGUGGGUUGUAGGUCAAUGAUUUUUUUUGUUUGUUUGUACACACUAAUUUAUCUGUUAGUGAGAAAACGUUCAUAUACAGUGAAAGAGAAUAAGAAGUACAACUUGGUCAGAUCUCCAGAAAUGAGUGAAUGGCUGGCUUGGUGAUUUCUAUUAGUAGCCCCCUUUUGCUGUCAGUUUGAUUAUUACUAUCUUAUUAUGUCAACUGUUACUAUCAUAUUAUGUAUUGAUGCGAGAUACUAUGAUACUAACAAAGAAUCAGUGAUAUCGCAAUUAGUUCUAUGUGAAAAAAAGACAUAUGGGGCACAUGGAUACUGGUUGCAUUGUUUCCCCCUUCUGUCAGGACAUACCUUUGGAUUCCUCCAAGUACAAAGAUGAUUUUGUUCGUUCCGUCUUAGUAAUAAAAAUGAAAGGUUAACUCAGAGAGGAGUUGUAGAGAGAGAAAUUCAUGUACCAUUGUAUUAUCUGAAUAUUGCUAUGACUGAUAUGAUCCUUGAUUAAAUAACUUCUGAUUUUAUUAAACUAGCAACUUUGUAAUUUGCGUCGUGCUAACAUCUUAAAUUUGGUGAGGGCUUACCAUUAAUUGUAUAUUAAGAUGUCCAGCUGUUGAUAUUCAAAAAAUUUGCUCAUCCUUUCUUUUGUUAGUCUCGCCAUUGUGGUGUGAAUCUCAAAGAAGUGAAGGAAAGGUAUGGAACUGCAUCAUUUUGCUAACUUUGUUUUUUUUCACUAUUGAAUUGAGGCCCUUACUCUUAGAUACAUAUACUAAUUGUGGUUCAGUUCAAAUACUCGAUUCAAAUAUUCAAAUAUAUGUUCCUUUUAUUCAAUUCUUGCUCUUGUUUAGAAAGGCAAACACCUCCGACAAUGGCCGAAAGGCAAUUUAGCUCUCUUGCAGUACUUGUAUUAGGAGAAGGUGCAACCUCUAGAAGGUGAUUGCGCUUUCAAUCCCAACUUGUCCUUACAACCUCUGAUGAGGAAUUGGACCGAAGCUACAACCACUAGGAGAGAUCAGUUUGACUAUGACAACGGCCGUGGUCGUGGUAACGUCAUGAUCAAAGAUAAUAUAACCUAAGAAUAUAGGACGCAGGAGCCCAAAUUCCUAGAUCAUGGGACUACACACAAGCCAAAACCUAAGUCAGUGCCACCGCAAGGAAGUCGAAGCCAGCUCCUAACUCUGAUGAUAUUAUGGAGGUUUUGAUGAAGAGGUACAACCAGAUGAGGCAAAUCCCUAAUCUAGUUGCUAAGAAAUUGUUGGAGAAGUUGAACAAAGAAGGUGUCAUGUACAAGCCGGCAGCUGUCGUGCCAUCCUGUAAUAAUGAUGGUGAUGAUGAAGUUGCUUCGUUUGAGAAUGGUCCACAUGAAAAGAAGGAAUUCGUGUACAAGGAAGAUAAUGAGAGUGAAGAUGGUGAUGAACCGGUCAUUGGUUUGAUGCUUCUUAAGGAAGCGGUUCCCAACAAGAAAAAUGAAGCUAAGGAAAUCAAUGUUUGCAAGGGUGGUUCACCAACGAAGUCUAAUAAUGAGUGUGGUGCAACACCGGAAAAUCCUUGGAUCAUUGGUAAUUCUCCUCAAGCAGCUUCUUCGGACAUAGACAUUGUUCCAUCUUAUGUUAGCAAGUUCAUGGCUAAUGCCAAAAAACAAAAGUUGGCAACAAUCGUAAAAGAUGACGAAGUUAUAUCCGGAAAGAGGAAGCAUAUGUUUCCCGAGAAAUUUGUAUCCCCAUAUGCACUUGAUAAGGUGAGAAGGCGUCCCGCUCGCGAUACUAGACCUUAGGGAACUGCUACCGCAAGUAGAGCUCUAUUUUCUGAUAACGAAGCACCAGAGGUUGUGGCAGAUGAGUGGAUGUCGGAACUAAUUGAUGCAGCUAUUACAUUUGUGGAAAUAGCUUAUCGGUGCGAAAAGAAUAAGUUGGAGGUGUGAACCAACUAACUUCGGAGAGGCUUUGACCUUUACUUGACCAUAGAUGGGUGACGGAUGAUGUUAUUGAUUCUUAUCAGGUACAUUUGGUGAUGCGCAUUGGUCAUGACCAUCACCUCUGUCCAACGUGGAAGUCGAAAUUCCUUGUAGAUCGGGCUCUAGCACGAGACAAACCAUUGAUGUCAUGCCACAACAUGGAUAGUGAGUUGUCCAGAUCUGGAGCAGUUAGUAGAGUCAGGGAUGAGUAUACUCUGUGUGACAAGACGUAUGUGGCAUUGAAUAUCGGUAAUACCCACUUGAUGACUGUGGUAAUGCACAUGCGCAAGAAAGAAUUCCAAGUUCUGGAUUCGCUCUAUCCUCUCAAGCUGUGUAUCGACACCGUGAGAGCACUGGUACUCUCACCACCAUUGCUAGGCAGGAGCUAAAUUAGCUAUGUGGAGUGGGUUGACCCUGAGUGGCCUGCGCCUUUGAAGAUGAGUCUAGCUAGGAUUUGGGGCAUGUAUGAUGAGGAGAAUAGUCUGAGGCUAAGGCAAAAUGUGGAUAAUGCUAAAGACGUGGUGAAGAUCAAGGGAGAGAAGGAAAAAGUGGAGAAAGAUCUGAGGUUCUUCAAAGUUGAUUUUGCUAACAUGGUGUAUGAGAAGGAGCGGGCAUUGACCCAACUAGGCAACACUCACCUUGCUCAUCAAGACCUAAAAAGGGAGAUGAGAACAGGAGCUUUUCUGACAAAUCUACCACAAACAUCCAUCAUGUGGACAGAGCUAAGCCAGAGAAAGAGAGAGACGUGAUGAAGCAAGAGAGGGACACAUUCAUGGAAGAGAGGGAUCUGAUGAAGCUUGAGAGGGACAAAUUCAUGCUUGAGAGGGAUCACUUAAAGCAGGAGAAAAAUAAGUUGGAGUAUAUGAUUGGUGAUCUCUUCAAGCAUAAGGUGGAGACCAUGAGCAAGAUAAGGAAGAUCCAGGAAUUCCUGGAUAAAAUUGAGUGAUGAAGUAUUUCUAGCACUUUCUGCACUGAGGAAUUUGAAGUAAUGUUUUCAUGUCUCUUAGUUAACUGAAUUUCUCCAGUUUAUUCUGUUACUGAAUUUGUUAUAGUACUAAAAGUUUACUGAAUUUGUUUUAGCUAAAAAAGUAAACUGGGUUUGGUUCA